GUACACAGCACAGGCUUACCAAACGGAGCUUGAGGAGGACACUGUGCCUGAGAUACAGAGGACUAAUCUGGGUAAUGUUGUGCUCCUCCUGCUCAGUUUAGGAAUUCGAGACCUCAUGAAG
rnacentral:precursor_RNA from 10 species